AUGCUUGGGCGUGCCUCCACCCACGCCGGCGUCGGCGGGCGUAUUUCGCCUCACAGUAGGUCGCCGCGACCCGUUGCUUUUGGGGACGUCGAAGGCCCGGACGGAUUGGUACCCUACCGGCUGGGGAUGCGGCUUCGGCUUCUCCUCUUGUCCGGUGGGCGAAACCGCCGGUGUCCUGGCUGCCCUGCGACGGUCGUAGAGACGAGCCCUCCCCUUCGGGGGGGCGGCUCUCGCGGCGUGCAAAAGGUCGGUGAUCCACCCGACCCGUCUUGAAACACGGACCAAGGAGUCUAACAUGUGUGCGAGUCAGUGGGCGCACUAAACCCAGAGGCGUAAUGAAAGUGACACGGGUUCGGCUGUCGCCUCGUGUGGCAGCCGGACUCAGGGCCGAUCCCUCACCGGUUGCCCUCGCCUCUCUCCCGCGUCUCGGUAAGCCGGGUGAGCUAUUUUCCCCGGCCGCUGCUGCGGGGCUCGGGGGGAGGCGGGGUUGCGAUGGUGUCCGUAAAAAAGAGCCUGCUGUUGCAGGGGGGCGCAGGCCCGGGACUUGCCAGGACGCCGCGAGACUGUCACUUUGCUGUGAGGCUCUCGGGCCGAUCAGCGGGUCAUGCGUGCAGUCGGCAAGUACCAUGAGCAGACAUGUUGGGACCCGAAAGAUGGUGAACUAUGCCUGGCCAGGAUGAAGCCAGAGGAAACUCUGGUGGAGGUCCGUAGCGAUUCUGACGUGCAAAUCG
rnacentral:rRNA from 1 species